CAUCAGUUCAAUUACAAUCUCUUUAUCCUCAAUUUACUCUCACACAUAUAUAGCAGCAGCCCAGACUUUCUCAAUCAAUCUCAUGGAAAGAACCAACAGCAUCCCACUACAGCCACCAACUUAUGGAAACCUAAUCACUGUUUUAAGCAUUGAUGGAGGUGGAAUAAGAGGGUUAAUCCCAGGAACCAUCCUUGCUUUUCUUGAAUCUGAGCUUCAGAAGCUGGAUGGGGAAGAUGCAAGACUCGCGGACUAUUUUGAUGUGGUUUCAGGGACAAGCACUGGAGGUCUUGUGACGGCCAUGCUUACAACCCCAGAUGAGAAUAACCGACCGGUGUUUGCUGCUAAAGAUAUAAAGGACUUCUACCUUAAGCAUGGCCCUAAAAUAUUCCCCCAGAAGACAUGGUGGCUGUUUCCUCAUCUUAUAAGCAUCAUCAAAUCUCUAGUAGGACCAAAGUACGAUGGGAAGUAUCUACAUAGCUUGAUAAAGGAAAAGCUAGGUAACAAGAAACUGCAUCAGACAUUGACUAACGUUGUCAUUCCUACGUUUGAUAUAAAGAAUCUCCAGCCAACAGUGUUUUCCAGCUUCGAGGUGAAAACGAAGCCAUCCUUUGAUGCUUUGCUUUCAGACAUAAGCAUCGCGACCUCAGCAGCACCAACUUAUCUUCCAGCUCAUUAUUUGAAACUGAGGACGCAGAAGGGAAAGUGAGAGAAUUCAACCUUAUAGAUGGCGGUGUCGCUGCAAAUAAUCCGACUCUGGUUGCUAUUGGUGAAGUUACAAAGGAAAUAAUCAAGGGGAGCUCCGAUUUUUCCCUAUAAAACCCAUGGACUAUGGACGUUUUUGGUUAUAUCAUUAGGAACUGGCUCGCCAAAAUCUGAAUUCAAGUACAAUGCGCCGAGAGCAGCUAAAUGGGGCAUCUUGAAAUGGUUAACCAGUGGUGGUUCCACCCCAAUCAUAAACGUUUACAGUCAGGCAAGUGCCGAUAUGGUCGAUCUUCACCUGUCUGUAGUUUUCCAAGCCCUUCGCUCAGAGAAAAACUAUCUUCGAAUUCAGGAUGACACGCUAAGUGGACAAGUAUCUUCGGUGGAUGUAGCCACAAAGAAAAAUUUGAACGAUCUCCUAGAAGUUGGAGAAGGCCUAUUGAAGAAACCUGUGUCUAGGGUUAAUUUGGAGAAUGGCAAAUUUGAGGCUGCCAAUCAUGAGACCAAUGAGGAGGCUCUUAUAAGGUUUGCAAAACUACUCUCUGAAGAGAAGGGGCGUCGCCUUGCGAGGUCGCCCCACGGAAGAUGUGCCAUGCCCAAGCCGAAGCUGAACUCACAUUGAUGCAUCUUAUAUUCAAAAUUUCUGAAUUCCUCUAUACAUGUAUAUAGAUUACACAAUAGCAUAAUAAUGUUGUACUUUUUCUUUUUCAUUUUUUAUUUU